rnacentral:rRNA from 1 species
UUAAGCUAAGAAGAGCGUAGGGAGAAUGCCUUGGCAUUAGGAGCCGAUGAAGGACGUGAUAAGCUGCGAUAAGCUGCGGGGAUCAGCAAGUAUGAAUUGAUCCGCAGAUUUCCGAAUGGAGCAAUCCGUAUGUGUAUGCACAUACAUCAUAUACUGAAUCAAAUAGGUAUAUGAGGGGAACCGCCUGAACUGAAACAUCUAAGUAGGGCGAGGAAGAGAAAUCAACCGAGAUUCUGUGAGUAGUGGCGAGCGAAAGCGGAAGAGGCUAAACCAUAGGUAGCAAUACUUAUGGGGUUUCGGACAGCAUUUAGUAUUGAUAAUUUCUAGUUGAAACGUGUGGGAAAACGUACCGAAGAGUGUGAGAGUCACGUAAACGAAAGAGAAAGUCAGCGAGCUGUAUCCAAAGUACCGCGGGACACGUGAAACCCCGUGGGAAGAUGGGGGGACCAUCCUCCAAGCCUAAAUACUACCUAAUGACCGAUAGCGAAUAGUACUGUGAAGGAACGGUGAAAAGAACCCCGGGAGGGGAGUGAAAAAGAACCUGAAACCCUAUGCUUACAAGCACCGAGAGCACGUCAAAGUGUGAUCGGGUACCUUUUGUAGAAUGGUCCGGCGAGUUAUUGUAUGCGGCAAGGUUAAGUGCUUAAGGCACGGAGCCGAAGCGAGAGCAAGUCUGAACAGGGCGAAAAAGUCGUAUGCAAUAGACCCGAAACCGAGUGACCUAUCCAUGUCCAGGCUGAAGUGGAGGUAAAACUCCAUGGAGGGCCGAACACACGUCCGUUGAAAAGGCCGGUGAUGAGGUGUGGAUAGCGGAGAAAUUCCAAUCGAACUCGGAUAUAGCUGGUUCUCUCCGAAAUAGCUUUAGGGCUAGCCUCGUGAAAGAUUACUGGAGGUAAAGCACUGAAUGGGCUAGGGGUCGAAAGAUUACUGAACCCUAUCAAACUAAGAAUGCCAGAUAAUUGAUUCACGGGAGUCAGACAAUGUGAGAUAAGUCUCAUUGUCAAAAGGGAAACAGCCCAGACCCACAGCUAAGGUCCCUAAACAUUGUUAAGUGGAAAAGGAUGUGGGGUUGCAUAAACAACCAGGAUGUUGGCUUAGAAGCAGCCACUCAUUAAAAGAGUGCGUAAUAGCUCACUGGUCGAGUGACCCUGCGCCGAAAAUUCAACGGGGCUAAACAAUGUACCGAAGCUUGGGAUUCUAAAGUAAUUUAGAGUGGUAGGAGAGCGUUGAAUAAGGGGUGAAGUCAGAGCGGAAGCGCUGGUGGACUUUAUUCGAGUGAGAAUGCCGGAAUGAGUAGCGAGAAUUAUGUGAGAAUCAUAAUGGCCGAAAAUCUAAGGUUUCCUGAGGAAGGUUCGUCCGCUCAGGGUAAGCCGGGGGCUAAGGCGAGGCGGAGACGCGUAGCCGAUGCACAUACGGUUGAAAUUCCGUAGCCACCGAAAGAUUUAAGUACAGGGACGCUUUAGAAGUGAUGUUGCCGGGCGAUGGUUGACCCGGUCGUAAGGGAUCGAAAAUGAGUAGAGAAGUCAUCAUGGAAAGAGACAAGAAAAGCUGUAUGGAUAUUUUAGGUGCCCGUACCGCAAACCGACACAGGUAGAUAGGAAGAAGAUUCUAAGGCCAACGGGAGAAGGGUUGUUAAGGAACUCGGCAAGUUGACCCCGUAACUUAGGGAUAAGGGGUGCUCAAGUGAUUGAGCCGCAGAGAAUAGGCCCAGGCGACUGUUUAGCAAAAACACAGGUCUCUGCUAAAUCGAAAGAUGACGUAUAGGGGCUGACACCUGCCCGGUGCCGGAAGGUUAAGAGGAGAUGUGAGAGCAUUGAAUUGAAGCCCCGGUAAACGGCGGCCGUAACUAUAACGGUCCUAAGGUAGCGAAAUUCCUUGUCAGGUAAGUUCUGACCCGCACGAAAGGUGUAACGGAAUUCUAACCUGCGGCUUUGAAGCAAGUCGGGGGACAUUGUUAGGUGGGCAGUUUGACUGGGGCGGUCGCCUCCUAAAGAGUAACGGAGGCGCUCAAAGGUUCGCUCUGCAUGGAUGGAAACCAUGCGUCAGAGUGUAAACGCAAAAGCGAGCCUAACUGCGAGAAUGACGGUUCGAGCAGUAACGAAAGUUGGAGUUAGUGAUCCGGCGGUAUGUGAAUGGAAAUGCCGUCGCUCAACGGAUAAAA